CACAAACAAGACUGAUGUUAACGUCUUUAACACAGUCACUCUCUCUGUGAAGUCCACUGUAUGCUCCAGUGCUACCAGUGAAAACUGGUAACACUGGGUUAAGUUUAUCCACUUCCAAAGCUUCUUUGGUGAAGUUAGCCAGCAUUUAUUUGAAGGUCUUCUUAUGUUUAACCUUUCAGUGUGUUCAAUUUUCCAACUUUACGGCACCUAUAGUGCUCAAAACUCAAAUGUAACAGUGGGAAGAUGUAAAUAAAUUCUUCAAUACUAUAAAAAAAACAGAUAGGAAUGACUUUUUGGCUAAUCCAGUAAAUAUCUGAAAAAUUGAGAUACUUCAUCACAUUAAUGCAAAAAUUCUGUGUGUAACUGUUGUUUGUAAUUUGUAAUGUCAGCAUUGUCUACACUUGAGUCAUUUAGAAUAUAUUUCAGUUAUCUUUGUUGUUUUGUAUUAUUUUAAGAUAGCUUUUAUUUUGAAACAGCCACUUUUAUUUAGAAAGCCAGUUGCGCUGUUCUGACGUACGUGAGAAGGGAGAAAUGAGCAGGUAAAGAUGCACAUGUGCUCCAGCUAAGAUACAUGCUAAAUAUCAACCUAUUUAAGUGGUUGUGAAAUGUUUAAGGACCCUUCAAGGACCAAGGAUAAUUCCCUUAUUUGCAGAACGCAGCCAACGAGUUUUCACGGUGGAUUUGGAGAGAAAGCUACAAAUAAACCAGUUGCAAGAAA